rnacentral:lncRNA from 1 species
GAGUGAAGCCCUGACAGUUCCCAGACCCUCUGCAUUAUCACCCAAGGAAUCCAGCUUCCAGGACCAGCCCGGGGUAGGAGAAACAGAAAUGGAGACAGAGCCCAGCUCCCAUCAGCCCACGGAUACACAUCAAGCCGGGAGGGUGAACACCACAUUCUUUGCCGGACCUGGUUCCCGCCCCUCUGGUUCCUGCGGGUCCCCUCUCCCGAGGGGGGGGAAGGAGUCUGCCUCUCAAGUUCUUUCCAUGUCCCCUCCCAGCCUUUGUCUCGGUCUUUGGGCCUUUUUGUCACCCCAGGGGCUUCGUAGUCUCAGGCGGGGCCUGUGCUUGGGAACCUGGAGGGAGACCUCAGAUUUUAAUCAGUAUGUGGGUAUCUCUUUGGGUUCGUGCUGUGGGAUUUUGACCUCUGCCGUGGGCCUCUGUACCCUGUGUCUUCGGGAUGGUACAGCGCUCCCCAGCACUGGGCCAAUCCAAUGCGAACAGCUAAUGCCAUCCAACACGUGGCGCUGGGCACCCCAAGUACUGAAAGAAUAGUCCGGGCGGGUGGCGCUAAUCAGAGGUGCCCAGAGGAGGGGGCAUCGGCAGCCAGCGGGUGCCGCGGUUACAGAGAAGGCCUCAGGGAGCAGGCGGGGUUCGCCUACUUGAGGGAAGCGUGGGAAAUGGGGGACAGAGAGGUGUGGGCAGGAGGCAGCGUGGGAACCAUUGCUUGGGAUCAGCUCAGGUGAAGCAGAGGGUUUAGAGAAGGGGGAGAUGGGAGAGUUAAAGGCUGAGACAAUUAUGGGGGUGGUGGGAGAGAUGGAAUGCAGGGCUAAGGAGGCUGGAUUUUAUACCCUCAACAGUGGGAAGACCUUCAAGGUGUAUACCAUUGGGGGAGGGAUUAGAGAUGGGGGACAGAUGCCCAUUUAAAGGUAAUUUGGGGGAUCCCUGGGGGGCUCAGCGGUUUGGCGCCUGCCUUUGGCCCAGGGCGCGAUUCUGGAGACCCUGGAUCGAAUCCCACAUUGGGCUCCCGGUGCAUGGAGCCUGCUUCUCCCUCUACCUGUGUGUCUGCCUCUCUCUCUCUCUCUCUGUGACUAUCAUAAAUGAAUAAGAAAUAAAAAAUAAAAAAAGGUAAUUCGGGCAGCAGGGCGAGGGUCCCAUGCUCUCUUACCACCCCACACCUCCCCCUCGGCUGGUACCCUUGUCUCAGCCAGCCCAGCAGUCCCUGGAGUGAAGAUCUGGAAUCCGAGUGACUCUCAGACCCUGCGUCCACAUUGCCUAGGGGUUCUGUCCACAGUAAAGCUUGGACCUCAAAGCCUUUCUGCCUUUCAGGUAGCGUAGGACGGGAUGAACUGUUCCGGGCCGGAGUGCCUGGCAUCCUUCAGGGAAGGGUCCAGUUGAUUGUGGGCACCUGGCUCUCACCUUGGCCGGGAGAUGGUUUGGAACAAGCUCACUGGGUCCCUGGGGACACGCUGGAGGUUCAGUCACCUACAGAGGCGCCCCAAAGUGUCCCCACUUCUCCUUGCGAUCCACAGACACAAGCUUCACUGACCCCCACUUUUCCUCCCUUCUCCUCCCUCAGGGGUCAGGUCUUGGGAAGAGUCCACUGGAAGGCAGAGCCACGCUGAGUCCUGGGGUCUGGGAGAAUGUCUCAGGGACAGCGGAUGGAGGCGGUGACCUCUCCAGGGUUGUUCUUCUGUGGGCACUGGCUGGACGCGUUGGCUUCCGUCUCUGGGAAUCUGGGCCUGUGCCAUCUGGAGCUGCUCCUACACGAAGGGAUUCAUCUUUCUCUUUGCCCCAAGGCGGGCCACUUGCCUUUCUUCAUGUCCUGGUUCUCCCCACUUACCCAUUUCUUCUUCAGGGCGGGGCUGGAAAGGUGGGGGACACGCGGCUCAGCUCUGAGCUUGGUGCGGUGGUGCUCUCUGCAGGCCCUUCUGUCUUGGGGCCGGGGUGUCAUUUGGCCCCUGGGACUCUGGGACCACAGAUGCCUCCAUCUCUCUCUCUCUCUCUCUCUCUCUCUCUCUCUCUCUCUCUCUCUAACUAGCAGGCUUCUAAAUAUCAAGGAAGAGGGGGUAUUUUCAUAGUAUUAAAUCGAUGUCCCCACCUCCGUGGUCCCCACGUCCUCUCCAAAAAUGGCCCCUGCUUUACUUCUGGAAGGGGAUUUCUCUAUGGGUCAAGGCAGGUGACUCUCUAAGCCCUGGCUCCCAUCACCACUCUCUGCCCCCAUCCUCUGCCCACCCACAUUCCACUCAUCCUUUGCUAUCAGCAAGAUGCACGGCCUCCAGGAAGCACCCGCCCUUUCCCUGGCCUCUCCUCCUCCUCUGUAAUCCUUGGUGCACCUCUCCUCUCCGAUGACAAAACAGGGCAGACUCUGGGGGAACCUUGGUACCCCGUGGCUUCCUGUGGCUGGGUUAGUCUGGUUUGCCUCGGCCACACGUCAUAGUCCUCAAGGGCAGCACCUGCAUUUCCUCCUUGGUGGGGUGGGGGUGAGGUGGGAGAGAGGCUGAUGGGAGGGGUUGGAGGGAGGAAAGAGGAAUGGUGUGGUGUGUGUGCAUGAGAGAGAGAGAGAGAGAGAGAGAGAGAGGGAGAACAGGGGUAGAAACGCCCAGCUGCAGAGGUUGUGAGGACAGGGCCUGUCCCCUAGACUCCUGCCAGCCCCUCAAGGCUAAGCCCCCACUGAUUAUAUAUCUGCUCUCUGGUGUAUAAUUUGCAUUUGGUGUAUUAUGUGCAUAGAUGACGAUAUGCUCCCCUCCCUUAAUGUGCAAGGUGUAUCACAUCUCAGGGCCCCGGAAGAUGUUCUCUUAGUCUAGGGUCCUGGGCCCCCAGGCCUGCUUGAGGACUGGGACCUGAGCUCCUGCCCCACGGUCUCUAAACCUGCCGCAAGCAGGAACCAGAUGGACCCGUUUGGUAAGCUGGGGAAGGCUCUGCAAACGCGUGGGGCCUCUCUUGGGGCUCAGCCCCCAGGAUCACAGCCCCUCUGGGUGGCGUGGCCUGCUGCUCUGACUGCCCGGCCCCGCGCAUCCCCAGACCCCCUGUCUGGGGCAGGGGUGAGGCUGGGAGCCCCCGGACUGCAGGGAGCACCUGAGCAAGUCCCUCGGGGGAGCAGAAACCCACCUCGCGCGGCUGCCCUGACGUUGGUCCCGCGGUGCCCCCAGGGGUCGCGAAGAUGGGUCCACUUUCCCUUCUAAAUGACAAUCCUGCAGAUAUUUUGACAUCACGGAAAGUGGAAGGGAACUCCGUGGAGAUGGAAGGCUAAAUGGGGAGGGAAACAGGCCCAGGGAGGGUAGCAUCCUGUGAAAGCUGCCGGUAAGUCGGGGAGCCCAUCUGCCGUUGCCUAGGACAAGUUUCUCCCCUCCCCACCUCCCUUUCCUCCAGGUCAGACUCUCCUCUCCUCUCCCCUGACAUCGAGUGUAAUCUGCUAGGUCCACUCUUGCUUUGCCACCUGUGUGUGCCCCUUCUGUCCCUCCCCGAGUUCGUCCCGUAGAGCACACGUCGUGUUGCCCAGAGGGGCCUAGCAUGGCAUUGGGGGGGGGGGUGUCAGGAAAUACCAUGCAAGGGGCCCGACGUGGGCUCCAAGAGAGAGAGAGGCAGAGACACAGGCAGAGGGAGAAGCAGGCCCCAUGCAGGGAGCCCGAUGUGGGACUCGAUCCUGGGACCCCAGGAUCAUGCCCUGGGCUGAAGGCAGGUGCCAAACCGCUGAGCCACCCAGGGAUCCCCAAGGCCCUAAGCAUUCCUGAAUGACAGCAAGAUUUAUAGUUUUAGCACUUUCCCAUGACAGCCCUUUCAGUGACUGAGGGAGACUGUGUGAUUUCUGUGCCCAGAAGAACUGGUGGCAGGUACCUGGCCAGAGCGUCAGGCUCAUUCCACAGGCUUGCUUAUUUGUCCCAGGGCCUUCGUGGCAGGUAGGAUUUUCCCUUGGCUAGAAUGACUUAGAAAGGCCCUUGGGGUUUCUUAAAGCUGUGGGCUUGGCGGAGGGGACCGCCUUGGAGCCAGGACCUUCAGCCGUCCUCCCGCUGUGCUCUGUUUCUUGGUACAGGGAAGCUCCAGAGGGAGGAGGAUGGGUGUGGACAGCUCCAACUGUCCCUCUACUUGCCAGUUCCUCCUUCCCUUGGGUGUUCUGCCCCCAGAGCCCUACCCUGGUAGCUUUUUUGUUCCUCUAUUUGUUGAUUCAUUCAAAAGCUAAUGAGACUGGGCACCUGGGUGGCUCAGCAGUUGGGCAUCUGCCUUGGGCCCAGGGUGUGACCCCUCGGGAUCCCAGGAUCCAGUCCCCACAUCGGGCUCCCCACAGGGAGCCUGCUUCUCCCUCUGCCUUUGUCUGUGCCUCUCUCUGUGUAUCUCAUGAAUAAAUAAAUAAAAUCUUAAAGGAAAAAAACAACAACAAAAGCUAUUGAGAGCUGAUUGCUGAAUUCAGAAAUUUUGCUUGCCAGAAUUAAACCCCUUAGUAGCUUGAAAUCGACCACUGUGGGAGUAUUUACACUAGAGAAAUUGGAAAAUGCUAUAGGUCAGGGCUACUUUUUUUUUUUUUUUGGCCUCCCUGCCCGCCCCCCGUACGCCC